AUGACGUUGGGGAACCUGAUGACUUUGGAGAACCUGAUAAGCAUUGUUAAAGUCUCUCUUCUCCCCGUAAUUGUGUCUAAGUCAGAGUCUCCUGAAGAGCCCGAACAGCUGAGAAAGCUGUUUAUUGGAGGGUUGAGUGUUGAAACAACUGAUGAGAGUCCGAGGAGCCAUUUUGAGCAAUAGGGCAGGCUCACAGACUGUGUGGUAAUGAGAGAUGCAAACACCAAGCACUCCAGGGGCUUUGGGUUCCUCAUGUAUGCCACUGUGGAGGAGUUGGAUGCAGCCAUGAAUGCAAGGCCACACAACGUGGAUGGAAGAGUUGUGGAACCAAAGAGAGCUGUCUCAAGAGAAGAUUCUCAAAGACCAAGUGCCCCCUUAACUGUGAAAAAAAGUAUUUGUUGGUGGCAUUAAAGAAGACACUGAAGAACAUCACCUAAAAGAUUAUUUUGAACAGUAUGGAAAAAUUGAAGUGAUUGAAAUCAUGGCUGACCUUGGCAGUGGCAAGAAAACGGGCUUUGCCAUUGUAACCUUUGAUGACCAUGUCUCCGUGGAUAAGACUGCCAUUUAGAAAUACCAUACUAUGAAUGGCCACAACUGUGAAGUUAGGAAAGUCCUAUCAAAGCAAGAGAUGGCUAGUGCUUCAUCCAGCCAAAGAGGCUGAAGUGGUUCUGGAAACUUUGGUGGUGGUCAUGGAAGUGGAUUUGGUGGGAAUGACAACUUUGGUCUUGGAAGAAACUUCAGUGGUUGUGGUGGCUUUGGUGGCAGCUGUGGCGGUGGUGGAUUUGGUGGCGGUGGGGAUGGCUAUAAUGAAUUUGGUAGUGAUGAAAGCAACUUUGGAAGUGGUGGAAGCUACAAUGAUUUUGGCAAUUACAACAAUCAGCCUUCAAAGUUUGGACCCAUGAAAGGAGGAAACUUUGGAGGCAGAAACUAUGGCCCCUAUGGUGGUGAUGGCCAAUACUUUGCCAAACCAUGAAACCAAGGUCACUGUGGCAGUUCCAGUAGCAGUAGUAGCUAUGGCAGUGGCAGAAGAUUUUAAUUAGGAAACAAAGCUUAGCAGGAGAGGAGAGCCAGAGAAGUGACAGGGAAGCUACAGGUUGCAACAGAUGCCUAGCUACUACAAAGAAGACAUGAUUUUGACAAAUACUCGUAUGUAUGGGCAAAAAAUUCGAGGACCGUAUUUGUGACUAAUUGUAUAACAGGUUAUUUUAGUUUCUGUUCUGUGGAAAGUAUAAAGCAUUCCAACAAAGGGUUUUAAUGUAGAUUUUUUUUUUUGCACCCAUGCUGUUGAUUGCCAAAUGUAAUAAUCUGAUCAUGACACUGCAUAAAUGUCUUUUUUUU